CUCGUAGGCGGUCUGUCGCGUCGGUCGUGAAAACUUGGGGCUUAACCCUGAGCUUGCGGUCGAUACGGGCAUGACUGGAGUUCGGCAGGGGAGACUGGAAUUCCUGGUGUAGCGGUGAAAUGCGCAGAUAUCAGGAGGAACACCGGUGGCGAAGGCGGGUCUCUGGGCCGAUACUGACGCUGAGGAGCGAAAGCGUGGGGAGCGAACA
rnacentral:rRNA from 1 species